rnacentral:rRNA from 1 species
GAUGAACGCUGGCGGCGUGCCUAAUACAUGCAAGUCGAGCGAACAGAUGAGGAGCUUGUUCCUCUGACGUUAGCGGCGGACGGGUGAGUAACACGUGGAUAACCUACCUAUAAGACUGGGAUAACUUCGGGAAACCGGUGCUAAUACCGGAUAAUAUAUUUAACCGCAUGGUUCAAUAUUGAAAGACGCAUUUGCUGUAACUUAUAGAUGUCUCCGCGUCGCAUUAGUUAUUUGGUAAGGAAAGGCCUUACCAAGCCAACGUACAGAACCCAACCUGAGAGGGGGACCGCCCAAACGGGAAUGGAGACACGGUCCAGACUCCUAGGGGAGGCGCCGUAAGGGAAUCUUCCGCAAUGGGCAAAGGCCUGCCGGGGCAACGCCGCGGGGGUGAGGAAGGUCUCCGGAUCGUAAAACUCUGUUAUUGGGGAAAACGAAAUGUGUAAGUAACUAUGCACGUCUUGACGGUACCUAAUCAGAAAGCCACGGCUAACUACGUG